CGAGCAAAUGAAUGUUGCAAUUUUUCUUGUAAAAAUGAUGAUGAUGAUUUUGAGGGGGCACUUGACAUCAUGGUCAUCAGCGCCCUGACGAAAGUCAACAUCUUGAAAAAAUGUACAUUAGGCCCAAGACACCAGAGAGCUUCUGCAGUGGGGAUUGCAACCUCUGUUAGCAUGUCUUUCCAGAGGCUAGUUCGGAGCUCACAGAUUCUGGCUGUACAUAAUUUGAGCCACAAGCAAUUUUGUAACAACUGCAAAUUGUAAUACAAGGCUCUACAAGAUCUAGUGUGUCUAGAAAUAAUACCCUCAUGCUCACCCAUGUUGGGGCCUGAGAGAGCACUGAAAUGAUGCAGAUUAAGCAUGGGAACAGAUGAGACUAUGAAUUUGUCUAAUGCUGAAUUAUGAGACUAGCAUUACUAUACCAGUUACAUAUCCUGAGGAGGUAGCAGCAGAAAUUGAUACAACAAACUUAAGAAAAGCAAUAGCUUGAACUGUGUAAUGUCAGAGUAAAUCACAUUUUUUUAAUUAAAAAUUAUUUUUUAAAUAAAAUGUUCAUUAUAUUCUUCACUUACUUAUUUCCAUAUGUCCUUAAAGAAAAUAUUCAGUAAAAAUUUCUGUUAAAGUGAAAAAAUAAGAGUAACAUAUUUCAGUUCAAAAUGUUAAAGAUUAAAAAUAUCUGCACCUA